UUUUGUUUUACAUUUAAGGGUUGUGUUUCAGUGGACAACUAACUUCUUCUUCCUCCCUCACAGGACACCUCCAUAUUGGCCCUCAAAAGGCUCCUCUGUGCUCCAAUCUUUCUUUCAUUCAAGUUCCUCCAAAGUACAUUUCCAAGGUGGAGGGAAAAAUCCGGGGAAUCAGGCUGUGCAGACCCUCCAGGAGAAUGCUGCACCCUCCACUGACCAGGAAAAGGCAGGAAGGAAAUCCCUCAAGGACAGUACUGGACAUCCCAGGAGAUUGUUCAUCUCUCCACUUCUUUAACACUGUGCCACUUUCCAGUCACUGCUAUGGUGAGACUUCCUGUUAUGGAUCAGCUUUGAAAUGCAGAGAGUCUGGUGGAUUCAGUAACUCUAAUACAAAACUGCAAAGUGGAGAGAGAAGAAACAAGUUUCAUUAACAGGAAGAAUUCUACAUAAAAUAUACGGGAGCUGAUGGAGGAAAGAAAGAGACAGCCAAGAUGUUCAGCUGCAAGUGGAGUCCAAUUUGAUGCUCAGCAUGAGUUUAAAGGGAAGAUUUUCUCAGCCUUAAAAUAAAAGAGCAGUAUUGGAUGCGUACGGGGCA
rnacentral:lncRNA from 1 species